UACGGAGGAUGCAAGCGUUAUCCGGAAUGAUUGGGCGUAAAGCGUCCGCAGGUGGCUAUGUAAGUCUGCUGUUAAAGAGUGAGGCUCAACCUCAUAAGAGCAGUAGAAACUACAUGGCUAGAGUGCGUUCGGGGCAGAGGGAAUUCCUGGUGUAGCGGUGAAAUGCGUAGAUAUCAGGAAGAACACCGGUGGCGAAAGCGCUCUGCUAGGCCGCAACUGACACUGAGGGACGAAAGCUAGGGGAGCGAAUGGG
rnacentral:rRNA from 1 species